rnacentral:rRNA from 1 species
GUAACAAGGUUUCCGUAGGUGAACCUGCGGAAGGAUCAUUACUGAGUGAGGGCCCUCUGGGUCCAACCUCCCACCCGUGUUUAUUAUACCUUGUUGCUUCGGCGGGCCCGCCGUAAGGCCGCCGGGGGGCUUCUGCCCCCGGGCCCGCGCCCGCCGAAGACAUCUCGAACUCUGUCUGAAGAUUGUAGUCUGAGUAUAAAUAUAAAUUAUUUAAAACUUUCAACAACGGAUCUCUUGGUUCCGGCAUCGAUGAAGAACGCAGCGAAAUGCGAUACGUAAUGUGAAUUGCAGAAUUCAGUGAAUCAUCGAGUCUUUGAACGCACAUUGCGCCCUCUGGUAUUCCGGAGGGCAUGCCUGUCCGAGCGUCAUUGCUGCCCUCAAGCACGGCUUGUGUGUUGGGCCCCGUCCUCCGAUCCCGGGGGACGGGCCCGAAAGGCAGCGGCGGCACCGCGUCCGGUCCUCGAGCGUAUGGGGCUUUGUCACCCGCUCUGUAGGCCCGGCCGGCGCUUGCCGAUCAACCAAAUUUUUAUCCAGGUUGACCUCGGAUCAGGUAGGGAUACCCGCUGAACUUAAGCAUAUCA